UGAGGAAUAUUGCGCAAUGGGGGAAACCCUGACGCAGCGACGCCGCGUGGGUGAUGAAGGCCUUCGGGUUGUAAAGCCCUGUUGGAGGGGAAGAAAGGGCGUGUAGCUAAUAUCUGCACGCAUUGACGGUACCCUCAGAGGAAGCACCGGCUAACUCCGUGCCAGCAGCCGCGGUAAUACGGAGGGUGCGAGUGUUAUUCGGAUUUACUGGGCGUAAAGAGCCCGUAGGCGGAUAGGCAAGUCAGAUGGGAAAGCCCGGAGCGUAACGCCGGAACUGCAUUUGAUACUGCUUGUCUGGAGUGUGGUAGAGGGGGGUGGAAGUCCCGGUGUAGAGGUGAAAGUCGUAGAUAUCGGGAGGAACACCAGAGGCGAAGGCGACCCCCUGGGCCAUAACUGACGCUGAGGUGCGAAAGCGUGGGGAGCAAACA
rnacentral:rRNA from 1 species